CCCCCGUAAAUUUAGAAACAUUAUUUAUAUAUUUUAACGUAUAGUUAAUUAUAUUUAAAUAAGAAUUUACAGAUUUUAGAAAUAAAUAUAUAAUUAACGUAUAUUUAUUUUAUUACAUUUUGAAUAUUUUUAACGAUUUACGAAAUCAAAUUAAUUUUAGAAUCUCACGUUGAAAAUAAUUCGAAUUGCGAAAACCGAUUGAAUUUAGAAAACGAUCCUAAUCGAUUUUGGGUUAAAAUCCUAAAACUAAAUCAUAAACCUAGCCCAAUUUGGUGAAGCCCAAAACAUUAAAUCCACAACUCUCCCCUCCUCACCUCUCUUUCAAUUUCACGUAGAAACAAAAAAAAAACAAAAACAAAAACAAAACCAAAACCCUUUCCUUGCUUCAGUUUCACGUGAAGUAUUGCUGCAGCUUUCCUUGCUUCAACGCCGCCGUCAACCACCAUCGCCUGACCGCCGCCUGCACCACCGUAUACCUCGCCGUCGGCGUCUCCUCCUUCGUCCGCGAGACUGCCGUGCUCGCCACCAGCACAGCCGUCGCGAGUUCUUCUCCGUCGCCUGACCGCCGACCUGCUCGCCACCGCACGACCCAGCCACGUCGCAACAACCACCGGAACCACCACUCGCUGCCGCGCCUCCCUUGCCGCCGGCCAGCAUCUCCUUAAACCUUUAUUUGGUUAAUUUCUUAAACUCUAAGCUAUUUAAAUGUUUUAAAUUAUGUUUUAAUUAUGUAAUUUAUGUUUUAUUGAAUUAAAUGUUUAGUUUUUAUUAUUCAAUUAUGAAUUUCAGAUUUAUAUAUUUUACAUAAUUGAAUUAUUAAAUUUCAGAUUACAUAAUUUGAUUGAAACGAGAAUUUGAAUUAUUUAAAGCACGAAUUGUAAUUUUAAUAGUUUUGAAAUCAUGGUAGGAUGAUUAUAAGUUAUUAAAGUUAUUAUUUUUAUGAUUUCAAACAUGUUAAUUAUGUUUUGGAGUAGUUUGAAAUUAGUUAUAUUGCUGAAAAUUUAAAGUAUAAUGUUUGCGAAGAGUUUUCAACGAAUUUCAAACAUCGAAUUCAAUAAUUAUGAUGCUAGGAAAUCAAAUAUUCAAGUUUUGAUAUUGGGGAAGGUUCUAAAUAUGUUUAGGAUGUAUUUAGAUUGCUUUAUUAUGGUUGCGAAAGAUUAGAAAUUGAUUGGGAAUAUUUGUUGAUUGUUUUAGGCGGAGAAUUCUCCCUAGGUGACUUUUGAAAGUGUUAAAGUGGCCUAUUAGUUUGUCUACACAAGUCUCUAAGGAUCAAUAAGCAUUGUCCAUCUGCAGGUUUGAAGAUGUUGCAUCAUUGGGAUCGGGAAUAGAGAGCUUGUAUUUAGUUUUGAUUUGCUAAGUUGACUUGGGUUUGUUUAAUUGGACUUUAAACUUGUUAGUUGAUCUUAUUUUCGUUGAUUGGUUUUGGGAUUAACUAUGUAAUCGAUUAUUUAUAAACCUAAAGUUAGUUUUAUGUUUUCCGCUGCAAAAUUCUGAAUAAGCCGUUACGUUUUCA